rnacentral:rRNA from 1 species
ACAUGCAAGUCGAACGCUUUUUCUUUCACCGGAGCUUGCUCCACCGAAAGAAAAAGAGUGGCGAACGGGUGAGUAACACGUGGGUAACCUGCCCAUCAGAAGGGGAUAACACUUGGAAACAGGUGCUAAUACCGUAUAACAAGUAAAACCGCAUGGUUUUACUUUGAAAGGCGCUUUUGCGUCACUGAUGGAUGGACCCGCGGUGCAUUAGCUAGUUGGUGAGGUAACGGCUCACCAAGGCAACGAUGCAUAGCCGACCUGAGAGGGUGAUCGGCCACAUUGGGACUGAGACACGGCCCAAACUCCUACGGGAGGCAGCAGUAGGGAAUCUUCGGCAAUGGACGAAAGUCUGACCGAGCAACGCCGCGUGAGUGAAGAAGGUUUUCGGAUCGUAAAACUCUGUUGUUAGAGAAGAACAAGGAUGAGAGUAAAAAGUUCAUCCCUUGACGGUAUCUAACCAGAAAGCCACGGCUAACUACGUGCCAGCAGCCGCGGUAAUACGUAGGUGGCAAGCGUUGUCCGGAUUUAUUGGGCGUAAAGCGAGCGCAGGCGGUUUCUUAAGUCUGAUGUGAAAGCCCCCGGCUCAACCGGGGAGGGUCAUUGGAAACUGGGAAACUUGAGUGCAGAAGAGGAGAGUGGAAUUCCAUGUGUAGCGGUGAAAUGCGUAGAUAUAUGGAGGAACACCAGUGGCGAAGGCGGCUCUCUGGUCUGUAACUGACGCUGAGGCUCGAAAGCGUGGGGAGCAAACAGGAUUAGAUACCCUGGUAGUCCACGCCGUAAACGAUGAGUGCUAAGUGUUGGAGGGUUUCCGCCCUUCAGUGCUGCAGCUAACGCAUUAAGCACUCCGCCUGGGGAGUACGACCGCAAGGUUGAAACUCAAAGGAAUUGACGGGGGCCCGCACAAGCGGUGGAGCAU